GUCCAGACGGCCCAUGCCUCCAUCCACACGAUGGAAAGCACAACAGAUUGUGCUAAAAAUACCUCCACACAGACUCAACGCAGGGUCUUCAGAAUCAACCAGCCCAAUGAAAAGACCUGCUAUCAGCAUCUUCUCACGGCAGCAGCAUAUUUCUCAGUGGCAUGGUGAUUUUUUUUUAGACAUCCCUGCAUCUCAAGCUGAAAUCAUUACCACCCACGUACCACAAUACGCCCAUAUCACCGUGUUGCUCUCGCUCAAACACAUGAGCACCUUCUUCCGUUUGCUGUGGUCUGUGUGCGCUCAUGAGAAUAACACGGCAAAGGAUUAAAAUCGCACUCCGGCUCUGGAUGCCCGUGCUCAUGCUAAGGAUUGUGAUGUCGCAGCAAGGGGACGACAUACUUUGCAAGGAGCAGGCUCUCGACCGGGUACUUAACCAGUCCCAUGCCAUCAUCCUAUGGUCUAACAUGAAUGGCACAGAUGUGCUGGAGUACCAUGGAAAUGAGGGGGAAGGUAUGGGCUGCUGCGUGCAUGUUCCCAAGGAGGUCAUCUUGCAACGGAUGGAGAAGGGCCUGAUGGGCAGCCAGCAUCUGUCAGAGAGCACUGAAGCCUUGGAAGGAUGAUUUGUGUACAAGAAGGCUCUGAAACUUGACAAGGAACCCCUGAAGACUGGUGAGGUUUCCUGCUAUCAAGCAAGAAAAAGAAAGGCCAACAGUCACAGAGUGUCCCGUUCAUUUCCGGCAUUGCAAACAAAAAAUUUUGAUAUAUAACUGAGAUGAGAAUUGCUUCACCUUUCUUUCCCCUCCAGUUUUUACUGAAUGAGAAAAUAAACUGCACUGACUACAUUCCUCUCCUUUUUCU
rnacentral:lncRNA from 1 species